UUAAUAACAUUUUUACAGGUUGAUUGAUUUGGUAUAUAUUCCUAGAUUUCAUAUUGAGGUACAUAUCAUUACAGCUAUAUUAUUGAUAACAAAAUAACAGAAUAUCAUGGUUCAUAGGACGAAUGAAAUUAAUAAAAAAUGUUUGAUUCCAUAUAUCAUCAAAGAGUCUAAGGAUAAACAAGAUAUAAGUGGAAAGCUUGAGCUGCAUGAGUCUAUGCAAGUUAAAGAUUUGUAUAGUUUUAUCGAAGAACAACAUCGAUUACGUCCAGAUUCAUUUACAGUACAUUUAAAUACAGGACAAAGAACGAUGGUUAGCGUAUCAGAAAUGACAAAUAAAACAAUAUUAGAUUUGUCGUCGCUCGAUAUGGGUUUUGAAUCUAAUUCUGAAUCUAAUUCUGAAUCUAAUGAAACGUCGAAUACUCUUGUCGUCAAUGUUCAUAAUAAAGUUAUUAAAUAUUUAGAAUCCGAGCCGUCUUUAUGCGAUCCUACACCACAGCAUCAAUUAUCAUCUAAUUGGAAUGAGAAUAAUAUUAACUUAAAAGGUCCUCUUAAACCUGAAACAAAUUAUGUUGGUUUGGUAAAUCAAGCAAUGACGUGUUAUCUCAACAGUCUUCUUCAAGCAUUAUAUAUGACACCAGAAUUUCGUAAUGCUCUUUAUAAUUGGGAAUAUAUUGAAGGUUCAGAAAAAGAUGAAACCAAGAGUAUUCCAUAUCAGUUGCAAAAAUUAUUUCUCAAUUUACAGACGUCUACAAAAUCUGCAGUGGAGACUACAUCGUUAACCAAAAGUUUUGGAUGGAAUUCUAACGAAGCUUGGCAACAGCACGAUAUUCAAGAACUUUGUAGAGUUAUGUUUGAUGCGUUGGAACUGAAAUUCAGAAAUACAGAACAAGCCGAUCUUAUUAAUAGAUUGUAUGAAGGAAAAAUGCUUGAUUAUGUUAAAUGUUUGGAGUGUGGAACAGAGAAAUCAAGAGAAGAUACUUUUCUUGAUAUUCCUUUACCAGUUAGGCCAUUUGGUAGUAAUAUAGCAUACAACAGUGUGGAAGAAGCGAUGAAAGCAUUUGUCCAAUAUGAAACAUUAGAGGGAGCAAAUCAAUAUCAUUGUGAAAAAUGUAACAAAAAAUGUAAUGCACAGAAAGGAUUAAAGUUCACUAAAUUUCCCUAUCUUUUAACAUUACAUCUAAAACGAUUUGAUUAUGACAACAACAGCUGUCAUAGAAUUAAACUUAAUGAUAAAGUCACGUUUCCAGAUACAUUGUUGUUAAAUUCCUUUAUUCCAUCGACGAAUCAAGAAUCACCUUCCGGAGAAGAAGAUAUCGGUGUAGGUAUAAAAUGCGAUGAUAGUUCAACUACAGAUAGUGGUACAUUAGAUGAUGAUUGUCCACCGUGUGAUAAUAAUCACACAAAUUAUAAUUCAUUGAACAAUCACGAUCCGGAUGACGAUGAAGGUAUUGAUAUGAGUAACGGACCAUCAACAUCUAAUUGUAACAAACACAAUUAUAAAAAUGGAAAGCACCAAGGUAAUUGCAUAAUAGAAUCAGGUCCAUACAUAUAUGAAUUAUUUUCGAUUAUGAUACAUAGUGGAAGCGCCAGUGGUGGCCACUAUUAUGCUUACAUUAAGGACUUUAGGACACGAGAAUGGUGGUGCUUCAAUGAUCAAAGUGUUACUCAGAUAACUCAGGAUGAUAUUCAAAAAACGUUUGGUGGUGGCUCAACUAGAGCAUAUUAUAGCGGAGCAUAUAGUAGUAGCACAAAUGCUUAUAUGCUUAUGUAUAGGCAAAUAGAUCCAAUUCGUAAUGCUUUACCGAUGCAAACACAAGAUUUUCCUCGGCAUAUCCAGGAAUUGUUAAAAAAAAUGAAAGAAAGCGAAGACAAUGAUAGAAGGAAUAGAGAAAAACAGAUAGCAUGGCCUAAAUUAAAAAUUUAUUGUCAUCAUCCAGUAACCGGCAAUCUGUGUCACACUAAAUUAAUAACAAUGCCUGAAUAUAAAUUAGCCGAAGUUACGGAAGAAGCUUAUAACAAAUUAGAUCUUCGUGGAGUAGUGAAAUUAAAUCAAUGUCGUUUAGUAGCGUACAAACACAGCACAGAUCUGAUUGAAUGCAGUUACGAAGGAAGAGAACAAGAUGAAAUUUCUAGUAUUUGGUAUAAUAAAAGUUCCAUUGAGCUUCUUCUAGAAAUACGUAAGGAGGAUCAAACGUUUGAAGUUUAUCAACCUGGUGGUAUUACAACUAAAGUAUUUGUGAUAGAUAUUCCCAAAGUAGAUAUUAUAGAUGGACCAAUUAAUGUACGGGGUUUACUCACUCAAAGUGUCAAGGAUUACAAGCAAAUGUUAGGAAACAUCAUUAAUAUGGAUCCUAAACAAAUGAAACUAGUUUUACUGGUUUUACGAAAACGUAAAGUAGAUAUUAAAUUAAUAGAUAGAGACGAUAUUGAUCUUCAAACAGCUGAAUUUAUGAAUGCAAAUAACAAAGUAUUCGUAUCUACUCUGCUCGAUGUGGAUAGUAAUAAAGGUUUUGAUGAGACAACAAUGUAUAAGCUCAUACUAAGGCUCGAAAGAUUUAUCUCAAUACAAGUACAGAUACCUGACAUAAGCAAAGAAAUAUUGGAAGAAUUAGACGUCGUAUCUUUGGCUGACAAAUAUGAUAAUAGAGAAAAUCGCUUCACCAAUGGAUUAUCUAAAUUAUCGAUUAACGAUUUAAAUAACUAUGGCGACACACGAUGUGAAAUGUUACGGGAUGUUACUAAAAUAUCAGUGAAAAAUGAUGAUUGUUCAAUACCAGAUUUACAAUCAGCAGAACCGGAAGAAUGGAAUGUUUCUGAAUUAAGUAACAGUGAAGACAGCAGUCUUAGUGAUAGCGAUAAAACUUUAGUAGGAGAUACUCAAGAGGACGAUGAUUUUCCACCAUCUUAUCAUCCACCUAUUUCGGAUAAUAGAAGAUUCGAUAUAGGAAAUCAACUAGACAUACACAAUUCUGAUAUCGAUGAUGAGUCUGAAUAUUACUUUAAGGCUACUUCUUGUACAAACACCAAUCGAAAAUUACUUAAGGUUUUAGUAGAUAAAAGAAUGCAAUUGAGCACUCUGAAAAAAAUUUUGGAGCCUUAUGUGGGCGUACCUGUUGAAUAUUUCAAAGUUUUCCGACAAUGUGGCGAUGGCGAAUCCGAAUGUACUUGCCUGACGAAUCAGCUUUUUGCUUUUGAUGAUGGCGAACGUCUUAAUAUAAAAUUAGGAAGAGCGCUGCGCAGUGGAGAAUAUAAAAUAAAGCUAUUUCAAUUAUGUAUCGAUUCAAUUGCAGAGCCUUACAAAUUCUUGUGCGAAACAAUUCUUUCUAAAGAUAUGACAUUCGGUCAAGCAAAGAAGCAAAUUUUAGCUGAAUUAAAGAAAAAGCAUAACAUAGACAUACCAUAUGAAAAGUGUAGACUGAGAAAAAAAUUUCAUAAUAUAGCUUCCAAGGUAUUUUUAGAUAAACAGAAAUUUGAUCAACUACAACUUACACAAUAUGAAAUGAUUGUCCAAGAGCUACCAGAGAAAGAAAUCGUUACCGAUAGCGACAAUCAAGUAGUUUUGUUUGUUCGAAGAUGGUCUCCCGCGAAAGUGCAACUUGAUCAACUUCAAGAAGUUGUGUUAGAUGAUAAAUCGAUAGAGGACAUUAAAAAAAAGAUAUCUUCUAUAUCAAAUAUACCUGAAAAAUACAUAGAUAUAGCAAAGGGAAAAGGUACUUUUCCAUGUGAUAUACAUGUAUUAAAAGUCCAUACUGAUCUUCAGUGGAUGGAGCACAUAAUCGGUAACGAAAAUAUAAUAUACGAUGAUUUUGAAGAUGGUGCUGUCUUCAUCUACAAGGAUAGCCGGGAGGAGUUAAAAAAAUUAAGUCCAGACGAAACGAAGGAGAUUACUAAUAAAGAAACUGCACGAUUCAUCCAACUUUCAUCCUCGACGGGUUACAAUAGACGUAGUGAGAAAGCGCUUAAAAUAUAUUUGGAUACUAAAUGAUCCUGCAUUAAUUGUACAUCUACUGAAUGGCAGUAGUUAAUUGAAUACGAUAAGGAACAUGAAACAUUGAGGUGCAAGGUACUUGAAGCGAAAGCAAAAUGGUGAUUGUAUCCCAUUUUCAAGAAACAACCAAAUGUUUUAUGCUCCAGUAUCUAUUGACUCUUUGUGCAAAUGUCAUACCAAAAGAGAGAAGUUUAAUAUUCGUAAGAUAAUAUAUCAAAUUGAACAAUGAUUUCCAAUCGAACGGUCGCAGUUUAUUUAAAAAAAAAGAAAAAAAACCAGAUUAAAGAUAAUUAUUUUUAAAACCAAUCCAAAAUGUUAUUUAAUAAAUAAAAUAACACGAUCGAUUUUUAUUGUUACUCAUAUAUAGGCUUUUAUUUAUUGUAUGUUGUGUAAAAUUAAGUUUGGUGUGUGUUAAUAAAUUACAUAUAUUAAUGAUGAUUACUUUAAUUAUAUGCGAAACUAAUAAUUCACAUUGGCCAAUAUAACGAGAGUAAUUUACAAACAUAAUUUGAUAAGCGAAUAUUAUAUAUACACAGGAUAUUAAAAUUGUGGUUCAGGAUUAUAUUAAUUUUCUCUUAUAAUUUGGUAUCACCUCUUUAUAUAUCAAUUCAAUUUCAAAUCUUUUUUGCACAACAAACAAACAAAGUAAUAAAAAAUAAAAGAAAUUCAAUAAACAAAUGUAUCAAGCGGAACAAAUAUUGUAAUUAAAUAAAAAAUAUGUAAACUAUUUAUAUGAAUGUAAGGAUCAUCCGAUUUUAAAAUUAUUGAUUUUUAUUAAUGUCAGAAAAUUGAAUGAUAGCCCAUAAAUUGUUGCAGCGUUAAAUGAAACAAACAAAAAGAAAAACAAUAAGAUUAUUAUCUAAAUUUGGCUAAUAUUUACUUCUCUGUACACAUGUGCAGUAUACAAUCCAAUGUGUCAAAUGAUGCUGCUGUAGAUCAGAAUAACAAUUUGUAUUUUUUUGCAUCUAUAGUAUAUAUAAAAAUAUUCAGUAUAAUAAUACCUUCAUUACGAUUCAGCAUACAUAAAAUGCAUAAUAAAUAAUUGGUUGCUUAUUCUUAAUGAUAUAGACAAAAAGAAUCAUAGAAAAUACAAGGAAGUGUGCACGCACAUACGCAUAAAUGUUGUGCACAUAGUGGUAGCAACGCGUGUAUAAGUGUGAGAGAAUUAAAUAACAAAAAAAUAAUAUUUUUAUCCUUUUUGUGGAUAAUUUCGAGAUUAUGAAAUAUAUCUCGUUUAGUAAAAUAUGUGUAUACAGGCUAACACCUGAACUUUCCAAUUAGCAAUGAUCGAACAAUGUUAUGCCUUGUAAUAUAUGUGACAAUUAUGAACUAAAUUAUAUUUUUAAUUAUGAACAAAUGAAAAGAUAUGAAAGUGGAAUAGACUUUUCGGUCCAAAAACAGAUAACUGUAUGAGAUUUUAUCAAUCAUUAUAGUGUGAUGCUUUUCUUAUUUUUUGUGUUGCUGUGUUGACAUCAUUAAUCACUGUUAUUGUUUUAUUAAAUAUACAAAUAAAUUUGUUCCUUGUAAUCU
rnacentral:misc_RNA from 1 species